rnacentral:rRNA from 1 species
CUAUGGCUAUACCACCCUGAACGCGCCCGAUCUUGUCUGAUCUCGGAAGCUAAGCAGGGUCGGGCCUGGUUAGUACUUGGAUGGGAGAAGCGCUGGCCCAAAGC